AACGAACGCUGGCGGCAUGCCUAACACAUGCAAGUCGAACGAGACCUUCGGGUCUAGUGGCGAACGGGUGCGUAACGCGUGGGAACCUGCCCUUAGGUUCGGAAUAACUCCCCGAAAGGGGUGCUAAUACCGGAUACUGUCUUCGGACCAAAGAUUUAUCGCCUUUGGAUGGGCCCGCGUUGGAUUGGCUAGUUGGUAGGGGAAAAGCCUACCAAGGCGACGAUCCAUAGCUGGUCUGAGAGGAGGAUCAGCCACACUGGGACUGAGACACGGCCCAGACUCCUACGGGAGGCUGCAGUGGGGAAUAUUGGACGAUGGGCGAAAGCCUGAUCCAGCAAUGCCGCGUGAGUGAUGAAGGCCUUAGGGUUGUAAAGCUCUUUUACCCGGGAUGAUAAUGACAGUACCGGGAGAAUAAGCUCCGGCUAACUCCGUG
rnacentral:rRNA from 1 species